rnacentral:rRNA from 1 species
UGAUACUAAGCCAUGCGAGUCAUUGUAGCAAUACAAGGCAUACGGCUCAGUAACGCGUAGUCAACCUAACCUAUGGACGGGAAUAACCUCGGGAAACUGAGAAUAAUGCCCGAUAGAACAUUAUGCCUGGAAUGGUUUAUGUUCCAAAUGAUUUAUCGCCGUAGGAUGGGACUGCGGCCUAUCAGUUUGUUGGUGAGGUAAUGGCCCACCAAGACUAUUACAGGUACGGGCUCUGAGAGGAGUAGCCCGGAGAUGGGUACUGAGACACGGACCCAGGCCCUAUGGGGCGCAGCAGGCGAGAAAACUUUGCAAUGUGCGAAAGCACGACAAGGUUAAUCCGAGUGGUUUCUGCUAAAGGAACCUUUUGUCAGUCCUAGAAACACUGAUGAAUAAGGGGUGGGCAAGUUCUGGUGUCAACCGCCGCGGUAAAACCAGCACCUCAAGUGGUCAGGAUGAUUAUUGGGCCUAAAGCAUCCGUAGCCGGCUCUGUAAGUUUUCGGUUAAAUCUGUACGCUCAACGUACAGGCCGCCGGGAAUACUGCAAAGCUAGGGAGUGGGAGAGGUAGACGGUACUCGGUAGGAAGGGGUAAAAUCCUUUGAUCUAUUGAUGACCACCUGUGGCGAAGGCGGUCUACCAGAACACGUCCGACGGUGAGGGAUGAAAGCUGGGGGAGCAAACCGGAUUAGAUACCCGGGUAGUCCCAGCUGUAAACCAUGCAAACUCAGUGAUGCAUUGGCUUGUGGCCAAUGCAGUGCUGCAGGGAAGCCGUUAAGUUUGCCGCCUGGGAAGUACGUACGCAAGUAUGAAACUUAAAGGAAUUGGCGGGGGAGCACCACAAGGGGUGAAGCCUGCGGUUCAAUUGG